UGAUAUCUCUUCGGGCAUCCAGUGUCACUGAGCAACCCUAAAAAGCAGCAGUGGUGCAGUCGAUCUGACAGUACAAGGGCAGAUCCUCUGGACGGUAGAGGAUGCUAGAGAAGAGGUAGAUUUUCCAUCGUGCUUUUCACUGUUAGCAUCUCUCGGUCUUGCCUGGCAUCAGCGCUAGCCAGCGUCUCUGUGUUUGCUUACAGCUGCAUGCCUCUGCAAAUGGAUGCAUGCGUGGAGUUGCAAACCGAGGCACCUUGAAACGGGUCCAGAAGUUUGCGUGAUCUCCCACUGAGCACAUCCGAGGAGUUUGAUAGGUUUCUGCUCUCGACAUCCCGUUCUUUCAGCUGCAGGAGGCAGGGACCCUUGGUUUUUUCUCACCUACCCUCUGCUGAGCUGCCAAGUGUUCCAGCCUCAGCUAGAGAGUUUGCUUCCUCAUUUCCACAUGCACAGCUCGGGUGCAACCUUGGGAUGCCAGAGCGUCAGUCUGAUUCUUUGUCCUUUGAGUCUAUUUACAGUGUUUUCAUUGAAUAGGACAAGGAAAAAUAAAUAAAUAAAAUCACAGAACAGAAGGCUCCGGCACUAGAUCACGCUGCCUCCCCCCCCCCCCAACAAUAAAUGGUUAAAUAAACAACCAGCUGCCGACCCAACCACGAACGAGCGAAUAAGCCCCAAACCAGCGGCAGCGCCACGGGAAACGGGAAAGUUUCGGCGCUCGGAGCCGGCCCCAGCAUCCCGGAGCUGCCGCCGCGCCUCGGUGCUGCGCUGGGGCCGGACCGGCUCCGAGCCCCCACCCCCGUCUCCUCCCCGCUCCUCCUUCCCUCCCCCGGGUCCUGCGGGGAGGCGGGUUUAAGCAGAUGGAUAAUGCCAACUGUGUACAUACCUUACCACUUCGGUAUCUGUGCUUUUCCGUUUGUAGUAUGCUCAUUCUUCAAGCACCUGGAAGGUUGGUCAGUUCUCUUCCUUUGAUUUUUCUGUGGAUAAUCGGACUUUGAGAGCACAUAAGUCCUACAUUUCACCCCAAGUUUCUAAGCCUGGUGUUUGAUAUUGGUUAGGUGCCUCUGAAGGCACAGAGCCUGCAGGAAACACUGGGCACAGAACUUGGGAGAAAUUUGAGCUACCCCAGUCCAGCCUGCUUUGCUAACCCAGUGUCAUGCCUGAAGUCUUUACCAGGAUGAUUUACACUCAGGUCCUCUGAGUCCUAGAUGCAUACACCAGCCUUUGCCUUUACAAACAUAUUUCAUCAGCCAUAACUAAACUAAUUGCCUAAAUUGCUUGCCUAGUGGCAUGUCUCUGUUGUACUUUGACCCGUUUUUUCCUCAGAGAGCACUGAAGGAACACUCCUGAGCUUCCAAAAAUAACAUUUGAUAGAUCGAGAAGAGCUUACUUCAUUAUUCAUUCCUGCUUUACUCUCUAGCCAAGCUCCCAAUGACUCUGGUGGAAGCCAGCUUAGGAGUGCUUAGCACUGAAGCAGACCUUCAGACUUUGUAAGAAGUUCACGUAACUAAUAAUCAUAGAAUCAUAGAAUAUCCAAGCUGGACAGGAAGGGACCCUCAAGGAUCAUCAAGUUC
ensembl:lncRNA